rnacentral:tRNA from 1 species
UCAGGGGGUAGUUUAACCGAGAAUCUUAGCUUUGGGAGUUAAGGGUGGGAGUUUAAUUCUCUCUCCUCUG